GCAGGACUUAAUGACAACACAUUUUAACAAAACCACAAUAAAUCUACCUUCAAUAACCAAGGAGUUACGAGUUUCCCUGAAGAAGUCUGUAUUAACAGAUGAAAUGUGAAAGACAUUUAUAUUAAAUACUUUGACUUUAUCUUUUUAUUUAUUUGCAGUUUUGUUUGGUGUUAGUUGUGGCCAUCCAAUUCAGCAAAAUUAAGUAGGAUUUCACUUUGUCCCCGUGCUUUCUGUAUUUACACUAAACAAGAGCACAUGCGUUUUCCAGUUUCUGAUGUGAGAUGCAUGGG